CUCCUCGAAAUAGCUUUAGGGCUAGCCUUGAGGGAAGAUAUGUGGGGGUAGAGCACUGAAUGAGGUAGGGGCCUAACCAGGUUACUGAACUCUAUCAAACUGCGAAUACCAUGUAUUAAUACUCAGGAGUCAGACUACGGGAGCUAAGUUCCGUGGUCAAAAGGGAAAGAGCCCAGACCGACAAUUAAGGUCCCAAAGAUAUAGUUAAGUGGGAAACGAUGUGAAUUUGCGUAAACAACCAGGAUGUUGGCUCAGAAGCAGCCAUUCAUUCAAAGAGUGCGUAACAGCUCACUGGUCGAGUGAAUUUGCGCGGAAAAUUACCGGGGCUAAACUAUACACCGAAAUUACGGAUUUGUAAAUGAAAAUUUAUAAGUGGUAGAGGAGCAUUCUGUGGUAGGGCGAAGCUAAAGCGAGAGCAUUAGUGGACGAAGCAGAAGAGAGAAUGCUGGAAUAAGUAGCGAGAGCGAGGUGAGAAUCCUUGCCGUCGAAAGUCUAAGGUUUCCUGGGGAAGGUUCGUCCGCCCAGGGUAAGUCGGGACCUAAGGAGAGGCCGAAAGGCGUAUCUGAUGGAUAGCAGGUGGAAAUUCCUGCACUAUAGCCAUACUUAAAAGAUGCAAGGGACGCAGGAGAGGAAGAUAACCGAGGAAGAGGAAAAACUCGGAUCGAAAGAUGGAGUGAAAAUAGAAGUAACGAAGUAUCAAGAAUCACACUGACGAGAAAAGCUUGUAGAGAUUGUAUGGAAAUACCCGUACCGCAAACCGACACAGGUAGAUGAGGAGAGGAUCCUAAGACGAACGGGAGAAGCAUUGUUAAGGAACUCGGCAAAAUAACCCCGUAACUUCGGGAGAAGGGGAGCCUAUGUAAAAGUAGGCCGCAGUGAAAAGGCCCAAGCAACUGUUUAACAAAAACACAGGUUUCUGCUAAAUCGAAAGAUGAAGUAUAGGAGCUGACGCCUGCCCAGUGCUGGAAGGUUAAGGGGAAAUGUUAGGAGCAAUCCGAAGCAUAGAACUGAAGCCCCAGUGAACGGCGGCCGUAACUAUAACGGUCCUAAGGUAGCGAAAUUCCUUGUCAGGUAAGUUCUGACCCGCACGAAAGGCGUAAUGAUUUGGGCACUGUCUCGACAAUGUACCCGGCGAAAUUGUAGUACUAGUGAAGAUGCUAGUUACCUGCGACAAGACAGAAAGACCCCAUGGAGCUUUACUGCAGUUUGAUACUGGGUUUUGAUAAACUAUGUACAGGAUAGGUGGGAGACUAAGAAAGCAAGGCGUCAGCUUUGCUGGAGUCACCGUUGGGAUACCACUCUUAGUUUGUUGAAAUUCUAACUAGUGGUCAUGACCUGGCCAGAGGACAAUGUCAGAC
rnacentral:rRNA from 1 species